GAAUACCGAACAAUUUUUCCAUUACAGAAUAGAUUUUCACUAUCAAAUAAUUUGAUCAUACUUGUUCAGUCCAUACUAUCUUGGUCCGUAGAUUUAUCGUGCUGAAAAUCCUAGUGUUACCCGCGGUGAAUCACGAGACACAUGCCUUAUUUUUAUAAUAACCAUUGCCUAUAUUUGUAGUUCAUCCGAAGUAAACAAGAAUGCGCUGUAGGCUUUACCAUCAAGGUUAAUAGAUAGCAAUACUAUUUAUUAACCUGGCCCUGCCAUUAACCGAGAAGGUACGUGACUCACUUAUAAAACGCUCGUUUCGUAUCUCUAUUAUAUCAGGCAUGUCAAA